rnacentral:rRNA from 1 species
UGAGACACGGUCCAGACUCCUACGGGGGGCAGCAGUGGGGAAUAUUGCACAAUGGGCGCAAGCCUGAUGCAGCCAUGCCGCGUGUAUGAAGAAGGCCUUCGGGUUGUAAAGUACUUUCAGCGGGGAGGAAGGGAGUAAAGUUAAUACCUUUGCUCAUUGACGUUACCCGCAGAAGAAGCACCGGCUAACUCCGUGCCAGCAGCCGCGGUAAUACGGAGGGUGCAAGCGUUAAUCGGAAUUACUGGGCGUAAAGCGCACGCAGGCGGUUUGUUAAGUCAGAUGUGAAAUCCCCGGGCUCAACCUGGGAACUGCAUCUGAUACUGGCAAGCUUGAGUCUCGUAGAGGGGGGUAGAAUUCCAGGUGUAGCGGUGAAAUGCGUAGAGAUCUGGAGGAAUACCGGUGGCGAAGGCGGCCCCCUGGACGAAGACUGACGCUCAGGUGCGAAAGCGUGGGGAGCAAACAGGAUUAGAUACCCUGGUAGUCCACGCCGUAAACGAUGUCGACUUGGAGGUUGUGCCCUUGAGGCGUGGCUUCCGGAGCUAACGCGUUAAGUCGACCGCCUGGGGAGUACGGCCGCAAGGUUAAAACUCAAAUGAAUUGACGGGGGCCCGCACAAGCGGUGGAGCAUGUGGUUUAAUUCGAUGCAACGCGAAGAACCUUACCUGGUCUUGACAUCCACAGAACUUUCCAGAGAUGGAUUGGUGCCUUCGGGAACUGUGAGACAGGUGCUGCAUGGCUGUCGUCAGCUCGUGUUGUGAAAUGUUGGGUUAAGUCCCGCAACGAGCGCAACCCUUAUCUUUUGUUGCCAGCGGUCCGGCCGGGAACUCAAAGGAGACUGCCAGUGAUAAACUGGAGGAAGGUGGGGAUAACGUCAAGUCAUCAUGGCCCUUACGACCAGGGCUACACACGUGCUACAAUGGCGCAUACAAAGAGAAGCGACCUCGCGAGAGCAAGCGGACCUCAUAAAGUGCGUCGUAGUCCGGAUUGGAGUCUGCAACUCGACUCCAUGAAGUCGGAAUCGCUAGUAAUCGUGGAUCAGAAUGCCACGGUGAAUACGUUCCCGGGCCUUGUACACACCGCCCGUCACACCAUGGGAGUGGGUUGCAAAAGAAGUAGGUAGCUUAACCUUCGGGAGGGCGCUUACCACUUUGUGAUUCAUGACUGGGGUGAAGUCGUAACAAGGUAACCGUAGGGGAACCUGCGGUUG